rnacentral:rRNA from 1 species
AUCUGCCUGAUGGAGGGGGAUAACUACUGGAAACGGUAGCUAAUACCGCAUAACGUCGCAAGACCAAAGAGGGGGACCUUCGGGCCUCUUGCCAUCGGAUGAACCCAGAUGGGAUUAGCUAGUAGGUGGGGUAAUGGCUCACCUAGGCGACGAUCCCUAGCUGGUCUGAGAGGAUGACCAGCCACACUGGAACUGAGACACGGUCCAGACUCCUACGGGAGGCAGCAGUGGGGAAUAUUGCACAAUGGGCGCAAGCCUGAUGCAGCCAUGCCGCGUGUGUGAAGAAGGCCUUCGGGUUGUAAAGCACUUUCAGCGAGGAGGAAGGCAUUGAG